UACGAAGGUGGCAAGCGUUGUUCGGAUUUACUGGGCGUACAGGGAGCGUAGGCGGUUGGGUAAGCCCUUCGUGAAAUCUCCGGGCCUAACCCGGAAAGUGCGGAGGGGACUGCUCGGCUAGAGGAUGGGAGAGGAGCGCGGAAUUCCCGGUGUAGCGGUGAAAUGCGUAGAGAUCGGGAGGAAGGCCGGUGGCGAAGGCGGCGCUCUGGAACAUUUCUGACGCUGAGGUCGAAGCAACGG
rnacentral:rRNA from 1 species